GUUUAUGAAAUAAUGACAGCUUUUUACAAAGAUGGCCGAGAAGACAAGUAUGUCUAUGCCUCUGAGGCUCUGUUGGCAGGAAUUGCUUCUGGAGCAGUGGAAUCACUUGUAAGUUCUCCGUUUGAACUUAUUAAACUCCGUGCUCAGGUUACUUCUGCCUCCCGAAUUCCCAGCUCCACAUCAGUUGUCGAAAAGGCCAUCAUUUCACCU
rnacentral:misc_RNA from 1 species